rnacentral:rRNA from 1 species
GAUGAACGCUGGCGGCGUGCCUAAUACAUGCAAGUCGAGCGAACGGACGAGAAGCUUGCUUCUCUGAUGUUAGCGGCGGACGGGUGAGUAACACGUGGAUAACCUACCUAUAAGACUGGGAUAACUUCGGGAAACCGGAGCUAAUACCGGAUAAUAUUUUGAACCGCAUGGUUCAAAAGUGAAAGACGGUCUUGCUGUCACUUAUAGAUGGAUCCGCGCUGCAUUAGCUAGUUGGUAAGGUAACGGCUUACCAAGGCAACGAUGCAUAGCCGACCUGAGAGGGUGAUCGGCCACAGUGGAACUGAGACACGGUCCAGACUCCUACGGGAGGCAGCAGUAGGGAAUCUUCCGCAGUGGGCGAAAGCCUGACGGAGCAACGCCGCGUGAGUGAGGAAGGUCUUCGGAUCGUAAAACUCUGUUAUUAGGGAAGAACAUAUGUGUAAGUAACUGUGCACAUCUUGACGGUACCUAAUCAGAAAGCCACGGCUAACUACGU